rnacentral:rRNA from 1 species
GAGUUUGAUCCUGGCUCAGGACGAACGCUGGCGGUGCGCCUUAUGCAUGCAAGUUGAGCGAAGCUUUUUGGUAGUUUACUACUAGAAAUGACUGAGCGGCGAACGGGUGAGUAACGCGUGAGCAAUCUACCUUAGUUACUGGGAUAGCCCGAGGAAACUCGGAUUAAUACCGGAUAUUCUUAUUUUUUCACAUGAAGUUUUAAGGAAAGGUCAGCCGAACUAAGAUGAGCUCGCGUUCUAUCAGCUAGUUGGUGGGGUAAAAGCCUACCAAGGCUACGACGGAUAGCUGGUCUGAGAGGACGAUCAGCCACACUGGGACUGAGACACGGCCCAGACUCCUACGGGAGGCUGCAGCAGGGAAUAUUGUGCAAUGAGCGAAAGCUUGACACAGCGACACCGCGUGUGGGAUGACGGUUCUAGGAUUGUAAACCACUUUCAGGAGGGAAGAAAAUGACGGUACCUCCACAAGAAGACCCGGCCAACUAUGUGCCAGCAGCCGCGGUAAUACAUAGGGGUCAAGCGUUGUCCGGAUUUAUUGGGCGUAAAGAGCUCGUAGGCGGUUCAACAAGUCGGUCGUAAAAGUUUAGGGCUCAACCCUAAAAUGUCGAUCGAUACUGUUGUUACUAGGAUACGGUAGAGGUGAAUGGAAUUCCGAGUGUAGCGGUGAAAUGCGUAGAUAUUCGGAGGAACACCAAUUGCGAAGGCAGUUCACUGGACCGUGAUCGACGCUGAGGAGCGAAAGCUAGGGGAGCAAACAGGAUUAGAUACCCUGGUAGUCCUAGCUGUAAACGAUGGAUACUAGAUGUAGGAACUGGAUUGACGGUUUCUGUAUCGUAGCUAACGCGUUAAGUAUCCCGCCUGGGGAGUACGGUCGCAAGACUAAAACUCAAAGGAAUUGACGGGACCCCGCACAAGCGGCGGAGCAUGCGGCUUAAUUCGAUGAUACCCGUAGAACCUUACCUGGACUUGACAUAUAGGGAAAAACUGGAGAAAUCCAGUGUGCGUAAGCGCCCUAUACAGGUGGUGCAUGGCUGUCGUCAGCCCGUGUCGUGAGAUGUUGGGUUAAGUCCCGCAACGAGCGCAACCCCUGUCCUAUGUUGCCAGCAAGUAAUGUUGGGGACUCAUAGGAGACUGCCGGUGAUAAACCGGAGGAAGGUGGGGACGACGUCAAGUCAUCAUGCCCCUUAUGUCCAGGGCUGCACGCAUGCUACAAUGGCAAGUACAACGAGUCGCAAUACCGCGAGGUGGAGCAAAUCUCUUAAAGCUUGUCUCAGUUCGGAUAGGAGUCUGCAACUCGACUCCUUGAAGUUGGAGUCGCUAGUAAUCGCAUAUCAGCAAAGUUGCGGUGAAUACGUUCUCGGGGUUUGUACACACCGCCCGUC